GAUGAACGCUGGCGGCGUGCCUAAUACAUGCAAGUCGAGCGAACAGACGAGGAUCUUGCUCCUCUGACGUUAGCGGCGGACGGGUGAGUAACACGUGGAUAACCUACCUAUAAGACUGGGAUAACUUCGGGAAACCGGAGCUAAUACCGGAUAAUAUAUUGAACCGCAUGGUUCAAUAGUGAAAGACGGUUUUGCUGUCACUUAUAGAUGGAUCCGCGCCGCAUUAGCUAGUUGGUAAGGUAACGGCCUACCAAGGCAACGAUGCGUAGCCGACCUGAGAGGGUGAACGGCCAACAUGGAAAUGGGACACGGUCCAGAAUCCUACGGGAGGCAGCAGUAGGGAAUCUUCCGCAAUGGGCGAAAGCCUGACGGAGCAAAGCCGCGUGAGUGAUGAAGGUCUUCGGAUCGUAAAACUCUGUUAUUAGGGAAGAACAAAUGUGUAAGUAACUAUGCACGGCUUGACGGUACCUAAUCAGAAAGCCACGGCUAACUACGUG
rnacentral:rRNA from 1 species